rnacentral:rRNA from 1 species
AUUGAACGCUGGCGGCAUGCUUUACACAUGCAAGUCGAGCGGCAGCGCGGGGGGCAACCCUGGCGGCGAGCGGCGAACGGGUGAGUAAUGCAUCGGAACGUACCCUGGAGUGGGGGAUAACGCCGCGAAAGCGGCGCUAAUACCGCAUAUGCUCUGAGGAGGAAAGUGGGGGGACCGCAAGGCCUCACGCUCUGGGAGCGGCCGAUGUCCGAUUAGCUAGUUGGUGAGGUAAAGGCUUACCAAGGCGACGAUCGGUAGCUGGUCUGAGAGGAUGAUCAGCCACACUGGGACUGAGACACGGCCCAGACUCCUACGGGAGGCAGCAGUGGGGAAUUUUGGACAAUGGGGGCAACCCUGAUCCAGCCAUGCCGCGUGAGUGAAGAAGGCCUGGUGUAAGCUCUUUGUCGGAGAAGUAGCCUGCUUAAUACGCGGGUAGUUGUACGGUACCGGCGACGAAUAAGACACCGGCUAACUACGUGCCAGCAGCCGCGGU